CAAAAACAUGUCCUUUUGUAAAUAAUUUAAGGUCUAGCCUGCCCACUGAUAUUUUAAAUGGCCGUGGUAUUUUGACCGUGCUAAGGUAGCAUAAUCAUUAGUUUUUUAAUUAAAAACUGGAAUGAAAGGUUGGAUGAGAAAAUAGCUGUCUCUAUUAAAUUUAAUUAGAAUUUUAUUUUUAAGUUAAAAAGCUUAAUUGUUAUUAAAAGACGAGAAGACCCUAUAGAGUUUAAUUAUUUAAUAAAAAUUAUAUUUUAGUAUUAAUUUAUUUAUUUUAUUGAAUAAUUUAAUUGGGGUGAUUGAAAAAUUUAAUUAACUUUUUUUAUUUAAGAACAUUAAUUUAUGAAUAAAUGAUCCGAUAUUUUUGAUUAUAAGAUAAAAUUACCUUAGGGAUAACAGCGUAAUUUUUUUAGAAAGUUCAUAUUAAAAAAAAAGAUUGCGACCUCGAUGUUGGAUUAAAAUAAAUUUUUGGUGUAGAAGCUAAGAUAUUAGGUCUGUUCGACCUUUAAAAUUUUACAUGAUCUGAG
rnacentral:rRNA from 1 species